CUCGUGCCAACAGAUCAUGCAGAAGCGGUGUCCGCACUCCAGCCCGGUCAUGGACUAAAUUGAACAAAGAGAAAAGAGUUAUUAGUCCAAAUUGUUAUUCGGAAUCAUAUACUUAGAGAUCUAUGGAACUAUAAGAGCUUGAUGAGGAAGCUUACAACAAUUUAAAUACACCUACACAGUUCAGGGUAAUUUCAAACGUUUGAUACGCCCACGCUCAUAGUAUUUGUUAGUCAGCUUUGCUGCUUGUCUAUAAUAUAAAAUGUACUCAGACCACUACAUUUAUGUCCCUUUGCAAUCCACAAUUAUAAAUCAAUCAAGUAAAUUAUUGAUAACGUAAGCCAAUAAAAUAAUUGAUAUAAUACAAA